UGCAUUCAUUACUGUAAGUCACUCUGGAUAAGAGUGUCUGCUAAAUGACUAAAA
rfam:Salmo salar isolate Sally breed double haploid chromosome ssa13, whole genome shotgun sequence.